CCUACGGGUGGCAGCAGUGGGGAAUCUUCCGCAAUGGGCGAAAGCCUGACGGAGCAACGCCGCGUGAUCGAAUGAAGGCCUUCGGGUUGUAAAGAUCUGUUGACAGGGACGAAUAAGCAAUGCGAAUAGUUUUGUGUAUGACGGUACCUGUUUAGAAUGCUCCGGCUAACUACGUGCCAGCAGCCGCGUUCAUACGUAGGGAGCAUUCGUUGUCCGGAAUUACUGGGCGUAAAGGGAGCGCAGGCGGCCUGCCAAGUCUUAAGUGAAAUACCGGGGCUCAACCCCGGGGCUGCAUUGGAAACUGGCAGGCUGGAGUGCCAGAGAGGCAGGCGGAAUUCCUAGUGUAGCGGUGAAAUGCGUAGAUAUUAGGAGGAACACCAGUGGCGAAGGCAGCCUGCUGGACGGUGACUGACGCUGAGGCUCGAAAGCGUGGGGAGCAAACAGGAUUAGAUACCCUUGUAGUC
rnacentral:rRNA from 1 species